UACAGAGGGUGCAAGCGUUGUUCGGAAUUACUGGGCGUAAAGGGCUCGUAGGUGGCCAACUAAGUCGGACGUGAAAUCCCUCGGCUUAACCGGGGAACUGCGUCCGAUACUGGUUGGCUUGAGUUGGGAGAGGGAUGCGGAAUUCCAGGUGUAGCGGUGAAAUGCGUAGAGAUCCGGAAGAACACCGGGGGCGAAGGCGGCUCGCUGGGCAUGGUCCGACACUGAUGAGCGAAAGCGUGGGGAGCGAACAGG
rnacentral:rRNA from 1 species